rnacentral:misc_RNA from 1 species
UUGACUUAUUUUAUAAGUUACUCAGAGAUGCCAAUUAAUACGAUAGUUUAGUAUACCUCUGGCGGGCUACCAACCCACGCGCCGGUAAGGGCGUUAGGGGGGGCGCGGCUCCCGUAAGGAAGCCACCCGCCGAAGCAACGGUAACGGUGAGGUUUACAAUGGUUUGGGAGUUUUGCAACUCUGUAAUGAUCCCUCCGCUGGUUCACCAACGGAGA